CGUGUCUUUCUUUGUUUCGUCAGGACCUAUUAUUUUCUUACAACAUUGCAGUGGAUAGAUCCAAUGAGAUGACGAAAGUGCUGGGUAAAUCUGCUGCAAGUGUGGGUCUCCGCCUUCCUGAUGUUUAUCAGUCUUGAAAGUUGCACAUGUAUCACGUCGAAGGUGGUUUCAGAUAAUUCUAAGAGGCUGAAAACUGAAAUUAGCCCUAUAGCCUAGACAAUAGCAACGACUUGGAAGAACCUCCUUCCCAUAUAGGGCUGAAAUACUUGGCAAAAGCAUAUGAAUUGUGCGGUUUCGUUGGGAAUUCUGAUGUUACAGGGUUUAACUUUUGUUUUAAACUAUAGUCUGGGGAAAAAUAAACUUGUCCUAAUGCUCUGAGUAGCUUAUUUUGUUCCAAUUGCACAUGGCUCGACAAACUUACUUUUAUAAUCUCUUUAGCCUGUGCAAAAAUUCAUCCUGCAGCAUAUACUUUCAUAUAUCAGUCUCAUUCUAUUUGUGGGAAGUAGAGGAUACAAUCUCUUCCACAUGGUGGUGUCUGGACUGACUUAUAUAAACCUCAAUUAUUUCACUGGAUAUUUGAUA